rnacentral:rRNA from 1 species
CUUUAUUACGAUCCCUUCGGGGUGACGAUUUUGUGACUUAGUGGCGGACGGGUGAGUAACGCGUGGGUAACCUGCCCCAUACCGGGGGACAACAGUUGGAAACGGCUGCUAAUACCGCAUAAGCGCACAGCAUCGCAUGGUGCAGUGUGAAAAACUCCGGUGGUAUGGGAUGGACCCGCGUCUGAUUAGCUAGUUGGUGGGGUAACGGCCUACCAAGGCAACGAUCAGUAGCCGGCCUGAGAGGGUGAACGGCCACAUUGGGACUGAGACACGGCCCAGACUCCUACGGGAGGCAGCAGUGGGGAAUAUUGCACAAUGGGCGAAAGCCUGAUGCAGCGACGCCGCGUGAGUGAUGAAGUAUUUCGGUAUGUAAAGCUCUAUCAGCAGGGAAGAAAAUGACGGUACCUGACUAAGAAGCACCGGCUAAAUACGUGCCAGCAGCCGCGGUAAUACGUAUGGUGCAAGCGUUAUCCGGAUUUACUGGGUGUAAAGGGAGCGUAGGCGGCAUGGCAAGUCAGAUGUGAAAGCCCGGGGCCCAACCCCGGAACUGCAUUUGAAACUGUCAGGCUAGAGUACCGGUGAGGUAAGCGGAAUUCCUAGUGUAGCGGUGAAAUGCGUAGAUAUUAGGAGGAACACCAGUGGCG